rnacentral:rRNA from 1 species
GAUGAACGCUAGCGGCAGGCCUAACACAUGCAAGUCGAGGGGCAGCACGUCUUCGGAUGGUGGCGACCGGCGCACGGGUGCGUAACGCGUAUGCAACCUACCUCUUACAGUGGGAUAGCCCAGAGAAAUUUGGAUUAAUACCGCAUAGUAUACAGAUUCAGCAUUGGGACUGUAUUAAACAUUUAUGGGUAAGAGAUGGGCAUGCGUUCUAUUAGUUAGUUGGAGUGGUAACGGCACCCCAAGACAGCGAUAGAUAGGGGCCCUGAGAGGGGGAUCCCCCGACACUGGUACUGAGACACGGACCAGACUCUACGGGAGCAGCAGUGAGGAAUAUUGGACAAUGGGCGAGAGCCUGAUCCAGCCAUGCCGCGUGCAGGAAGACGG